rnacentral:rRNA from 1 species
AUUGAACGCUGGCGGAAUGCUUUACACAUGCAAGUCGAACGGCAGCACGGGGCAACCUGGUGGCAAGUGGCGAACGGGUGAGUAAUACAUCGGAACGUGCCCAAUCGUGGGGGAUAACGUAGCGAAAGUUACGCUAAUACCGCAUACGAUCUACGGAUGAAAGCGGGGGAUCGCAAGACCUCGCGCGAAUGGAGCGGCCGAUGUCAGAUUAGGUAGUUGGUGGGGUAAAGGCUCACCAAGCCAACGAUCUGUAGCUGGUCUGAGAGGACGACCAGCCACACUGGAACUGAGACACGGUCCAGACUCCUACGGGAGGCAGCAGUGGGGAAUUUUGGACAAUGGGCGCAAGCCUGAUCCAGCCAUUCCGCGUGCAGGAUGAAGGCCUUCGGGUUGUAAACUGCUUUGUACGGACGAAACGGUCUGCCCUAAUACGGCGGGCUAAUGACGGUACCGUAAGAAUAAGCACCGGCGUAACUACGUGCCAGCAGCCGCGGUAAUCUA